AGUGUUGCUGUGCCAUGGAAAAAAGGUGUGUUUGGUGAGAUCACAUAGGACCUUGUGCUGCAGACUCGGGGAUUGAAUUCCACUACAAUUUGUUUCAGCUGACACAUGAAGGGGAAGAUGAGGAUGAGCCCUUCU